rnacentral:rRNA from 1 species
GAUCAUGGCUCAGAUUGAACGCUGGCGGCAGGCCUAACACAUGCAAGUCGAGCGGUAGAGAGAAGCUUGCUUCUCUUGAGAGCGGCGGACGGGUGAGUAAUGCCUAGGAAUCUGCCUAGUGGUGGGGGAUAACGUUCGGAAACGGACGCUAAUACCGCAUACGUCCUACGGGAGAAAGCGGGGGAUCUUCGGACCUCGCGCCAUUAGAUGAGCCUAGGUCGGAUUAGCUAGUUGGUGAGGUAAUGGCUCACCAAGGCGACGAUCCGUAACUGGUCUGAGAGGAUGAUCAGUCACACUGGAACUGAGACACGGCCCAGACUCCUACGGGAGGCAGCAGUGGGGAAUUUUGGACAAUGGGCGCAAGCCUGAUCCAGCAAUGCCGCGUGCAGGAAGAAGGCCUUCGGGUUGUAAACCUCUUUUUUCAGGGAGGAAUAAAUGACGUGUACCUGAAGAAUAAGCAUCGGCUAACUCCGUG